rnacentral:tRNA from 1 species
GGGCGAUUAGCUCAGCGGUAGAGCUAUUGGUUUACACCCAAUCGGUCGGCGGUUCGAAUCCGUCAUCGCCCA